GAUGAACGCUAGCGGCAGGCUUAAUACAUGCAAGUCGUGGGGCAGCAUGAGUAGCAAUACUUGAUGGCGACCGGCAAACGGGUGCGGAACACGUACACAACCUUCCGAUAAGUGGGGAAUAGCCCAGAGAAAUUUGGAUUAAUACCCCGUAACAUAUAGAGUAGGCAUCUUCUUUAUAUUAUAGCUUCGGCGCUUAUUGAUGGGUGUGCGUCUGAUUAGGUAGUUGGCGGGGUAACGGCCCACCAAGCCUACGAUCAGUAGCUGAUGUGAGUGCAUGAUCAGCCACUGGGGAUCUGGGUCACGGGCCCGACUCCUACGGGAGGCAGCAGUAAGGAAGAUUGCACAAUGGGCUAAAGCCUACUACAGCCAUGCCGCGUGAAGUAUUAAGGUCCUCUGGAUUGUAAACUUCCUUUAUUUGGGACGAAAAAAGGGAAUUCUUUCCCACUUGACGGUACCAAGUGAAUAAGCACCGGCUAACUCCGUGCCAGCCGCCGCCGUAA
rnacentral:rRNA from 1 species